GACGAACGCUGGCGGCGUGCCUAAUACAUGCGAGUCGAACGCAUUUUCUUUCACCGUAGCUUGCUACACCGAAAGAAAAUGAGUGGCGAACGGGUGAGUAACACGUGGGUAACCUGCCCAUCAGCGGGGGAUAACACUUGGAAACAGGUGCUAAUACCGCAUAAUUCCAUUUACUGCAUGGUAGAUGGAUGAAAGGCGCUUUUGCGUCACUGAUGGGUGGACCCGCGGUGCAUUAGCUAGUUGGUGGGGUAACGGCCUACCAAGGCUGCGAUGCAUAGCCGACCUGAGAGGGUGAUCGGCCACACUGGGACUGAGACACGGCCCAGACUCCUACGGGAGGCAGCAGUAGGGAAUCUUCGGCAAUGGACGCAAGUCUGACCGAGCAACGCCGCGUGAGUGAAGAAGGUUUUCGGAUCGUAAAACUCUGUUGUUAGAAAAGAACAAGGAUGAGAGUGGAAAGUUCAUCCCUUGACGGUAUCUAACCAGAAAGCCACGGCUAACUACGUG
rnacentral:rRNA from 1 species